UGGCGGCCUUAGCGCGGUGGUCCCACCUGACCCCAUGCCGAACUCAGAAGUGAAACGCCGUAGCGCCGAUGGUAGUGUGGGGUCUCCCCAUGCGAGAGUAGGGAACUGCCUGGCA
rnacentral:rRNA from 6 species